rnacentral:rRNA from 1 species
CCUAACACAUGCAAGUCGAACGGUAACAGGAAGAAGCUUGCUUCUUUGCUGACGAGUGGCGGACGGGUGAGUAAUGUCUGGGAAACUGCCUGAUGGAGGGGGAUAACUACUGGAAACGGUAGCUAAUACCGCAUAACGUCGCAAGACCAAAGAGGGGGACCUUCGGGCCUCUUGCCAUCGGAUGUGCCCAGAUGGGAUUAGCUAGUAGGUGGGGUAACGGCUCACCUAGGCGACGAUCCCUAGCUGGUCUGAGAGGAUGACCAGCCACACUGGAACUGAGACACGGUCCAGACUCCUACGGGAGGCAGCAGUGGGGAAUAUUGCACAAUGGGCGCAAGCCUGAUGCAGCCAUGCCGCGUGUAUGAAGAAGGCCUUCGGGUUGUAAAGUACUCUCAGCGGGGAGGAAGGGAGUAAAGUUAAUACCUUUGCUCAUUGACGUUGCCCGCAGAAGAAGCACCGGCUAACUCCGUGCCAGCAGC